rnacentral:rRNA from 1 species
AUUGAACGCUGGCGGCAUGCCUUACACAUGCAAGUCGAACGGCAGCACGGGUGCUUGCACCUGGUGGCGAGUGGCGAACGGGUGAGUAAUACAUCGGAACAUGUCCUGUAGUGGGGGAUAGCCCGGCGAAAGCCGGAUUAAUACCGCAUACGAUCCACGUGUGAGAGCGGGGGACCUUCGGGCCUCGCGCUAUAGGGAUGGCCGAUGGCUGAUUAGCUAGUUGGUGGGGUAAAGGCCUACCAAGGCGACGAACAGUAGCUGGUCUGAGAGGACGACCAGCCACACUGGGACUGAGACACGGCCCAGACUCCUACGGGAGGCAGCAGUGGGGAAUUUUGGACAAUGGGCGAAAGCCUGAUCCAGCAAUGCCGCGUGUGUGAAGAAGGCCUUCGGGUUGUAAAGCACUUUUGUCCGGAAAGAAAUCCUUGGCCCUAAUACGGUCGGGGGAUGACGGUACCGGAAGAAUAAGCACCGGCUAACUACGUG